rnacentral:misc_RNA from 1 species
UCUCCGUUGGUGAACCAGCGGAGGGAUCAUUAUAGAGUUUUCUAAACUCCCAACCCAUGUGAACUUACCAUUGUUGCCUCGGUGGGCUGGCCCUUGCAAACAGGGCCCCGUCCCUCCCUCUCGGGGGGGUUGGAGCGAGCCUGCCGGUGGACUUAUAAACCUAUUUUAAUUAGUAUCUCUCUGAGUACAAAACAAAAUGAAUCAAAACUUUCAACAACGGAUCUCUUGGUUCUGGCAUCGAUGAAGAACGCAGC